GACGAACGCUGGCGGCGUGCUUAACACAUGCAAGUCGAACGGAAAGGCCCUGCUUUUGUGGGGUGCUCGAGUGGCGAACGGGUGAGUAACACGUGAGUAACCUGCCCUUGACUUUGGGAUAACUUCAGGAAACUGGGGCUAAUACCGGAUAGGAGCUCCUGCUGCAUGGUGGGGGUUGGAAAGUCUCGGCGGUUGGGGAUGGACUCGCGGCUUAUCAGCUUGUUGGUGGGGUAGUGGCUUACCAAGGCUUUGACGGGUAGCCGGCCUGAGAGGGUGACCGGCCACAUUGGGACUGAGAUACGCCCAGACUCCUACGGGAGGCAGCAGUGGGGAAUAUUGCACAAUGGGCGGAAGCCUGAUGCAGCAACGCCGCGUGCGGGAUGACGGCCUUCGGGUUGUAAACCGCUUUCGCCUGUGACGAAGCGUGAGUGACGGUAAUGGGUAAAGAAGCACCGGCUAACUACGUG
rnacentral:rRNA from 1 species